AGUUCACUUGGAGUAGUCGGCCGAAGGAUAACCAGGCGCUGGAGGAUAAGCACCAGGUGGUGGUGGGGGAUAGGCACCAGGUGGUGGUGGGGGAUAGGCACCAGGUGGUGGUGGUGGAUAGGCACCAGGUGGUGGUGGUGGAUAGGCACCAGGUGGUGGUGGUGGAUAUGCAGAUGGAGGGUACCCAGCAGGAGGAUAACCUUGGGCAUAAGGGGGUGGAGGUUGUCCAUAAGGUGC
rnacentral:lncRNA from 1 species